rnacentral:rRNA from 1 species
UAGGGAAUAUUCCGCAAUGGGCGAAAGCCUGACGGAGCAACGCCGCGUGAGUGAAGAAGAUCUUCGGAUUGUAAAGCUCUGUCAACAGGGACGAUAAUGACGGUACCUGUGGAGGAAGCCACGGCAAACUACGUGCCAGCAGCCGCGGUAAUACGUAGGUGGCAAGCGUUGUCCGGAAUAACUGGGCGUAAAGCGCAUGUAGACGGCAUAGCAAGCCAAGUGUGAAAUUUAGGGGCUUAACCUCUAAACUGCGCUUGGAACUGCUGAGCUUGAGUGCAGGAGAUGCAAGUGGAAUUCCCAGUGUAGCAGUGAAAUGCGUAGAUAUUGGGAGGAACACCAGUGGCGAAGGCGACUUGCUGGACUGCAACUGACGUUGAGACGCGAGAGCGUGGGUAGCAAACA